AUAUAGGUUGUAGGGAACUGAAAAGGGACCGACCCUUCGGGGAGCCCAUACAGGUGUUGCAUGGCUGUCGUCAGCUCGUGUCGUGAGAUGUUCGGUUAAGUCCGCUAACGAGCGCAACCCUCGUCGUAUGUUAUAUGUGUCAUACGAGACUGCCGGUAAAAGCCGGAGGAAGGUGAGGAUGAUGUCAAGUCAGCAUGACCUUUAUAUCCAGGGCUACACACACGCUACAAUGGUCUGUACAAUGGGUAGCCAAGCCGCGAGGCGGAGCCAAUCCUGAAAGCAGGCCUCAGUUCAGAUUGCAGUCUGCAACUCGACUGCAUGAAGCCGGAGUUGCUAGUAACCGCAGGUCAGCAAUACUGCGGUGAAUACGUUCCCGGGUCUU
rnacentral:rRNA from 1 species